UACGGAGGGUGCGAGCGUUAAUCGGAAUUACUGGGCGUAAAGCGCGCGUAGGCGGUUUGAUAAGCUGGAUGUGAAAGCCCUGGGCUCAACCUGGGAACUGCAUCCAGAACUGUCUGACUAGAGUACAGUAGAGGUGAGUGGAAUUUCCUGUGUAGCGGUGAAAUGCGUAGAUAUAGGAAGGAACAUCAGUGGCGAAGGCGGCUCACUGGACUGAUACUGACGCUGAGGUGCGAAAGCGUGGGGAGCAAACAGG
rnacentral:rRNA from 1 species